AAAAUAAAAAACAGACAACAGGAAAGAGAAAAAAGCCCUCCCUGAUGUAUUAGUCAGAUUCAUUUGUCAGUCCCAUGUGUAUCUGUGAAAGUUCACAACUUAAGUGUUCCUUAAGUAAACCAGCAUGGAGGUCACAUCACAUCCUGCACACUGCAGACAAAGAGAAUAAGAUGAGCUCUGGGGAUCCUACAGUACCCUUGGGAAGCCAGACUGCACUCUGCAAGAAGUAAAAUGCCACAGCUGCAGGUGUGAGAGACAUUCAGGACACCUGGGAGCAAAGGCCAGCUGAAGUCUGCUCAGCAAGGUGGAGAGGGUCACUUGGAGUAAAGAGGACAGCUAUGAAGGCACAUGGUAGGAAAAGUUAGCUUCUUCAGGAACCAGAGCAGUAGGCUGCUGUGUGCAAGGUGGCCCAGUCACGAGCCAGCUGAAAGGCAGUGGGGGUGUGGUCCGCCCCCAGGGCGGCACUCAGAUGCACACACAGACACGAUCAUGCACACCUUAGGACAGCUGAAGAGGCUGCACAGGACUCGUGGCAGAGUAUCAUGGCAUCCUCUGCCCCAUCAGGGAGCUCUGCAGUAGAUGGUGACACACUGGAGAGCUUUCUGCUCAGACCUGGGCGAUGGAAAGAGACCCUAGAGGUAGAUGCUCACCGCUAUAAUGUCAUGCAGGCAGGAGGCAACAAGAGCUCUUAGAGGUGUGGUAGGGGAGCGGGGCAUAAGCCUCUCAGCGACAGGUGUGGAAGGUGAGUGGGAGGUGAACAGCUGUUAGGCCCAUGUCAUCGGCACCACAGACGCAGCAUGAAGGCACAGCGUGGCUGGGUAGGUGUCUCUGGACCAAGCAGUAGAGGAGCCGGGGGAGAAGAGGAAGCUGGAGUCUCCCUGCUGCAGUGUUCUGGCCUGGGACACCUGGUAGACAACUGUCGUCCCUGGGACUGGCUCGAAAACCAGUCUGAACCCAGGCUAGGGCGAGGCUGCGUGGCGGGGGUGGGGGGUGGCAUGCGGCAGGACCCUGUUAAGGCCGCCCUGGCAGGCCGGGGUCAGUGUUCUCACAGCUCAGUGCUGCCUGCCUCCAGGCACCUUGCCAGUGACUAUCCAGGUCUUGGCCCUUGGAACUCAGGGCCUCAGGGCCACGGUGUCACUGCAGGAUGGUGAUGCGGACACGCAGGUGCGUGGUGAGGGCCGAGCUGCAGCUGAAGGCCUCCCUGCGGUUGUUGCCCUUUAGGGCUUCUCCCUGGUGUCGGUCCGCUGAUGCUCCACGAGGAGGAGCUCUGUGUGAAGGCCUUGGGACACAACAGCACCGAUAGGGAUUCUUUCCAGAGUGGGUCCUCAGGUCCCUGAAGGGCCACCCACAGGCACCACACUGAUAGGGUUGGUCCCCCAUGCGGGUGCGCUGGCGCUGCGUGAGGUGCAACGUCAAGCUGAAGGCCUUGCCGCACUGUGUGCGUGCCUAGGGCUUCUCUGCAGUGUGGAUCCUGCGCGAGGUGGCUCGUGGAUGAAGCAUGCCGUGGCUGAAGACCUUUCCGCACUCACCACAGGCACACGGUGUCUUCCGGGAGUGGCUCUUCUUGGGCUCCACAACGUUCUCUGACACUGGCUACACCUGGAGGCCUUUUUCCCUAAGGAGGCAUAGGGAGGCCCUGUCCCAUAAUGACCCAAGGGACCAAAUCUGUCCUCUGAGGGAGGCUGCUCUUGGGAAGCAAGGAUUAGCCAUGUCCUGAACUGUUUCCUGAGGCAGCAGACCAGGACAGGCUGUCUGUGGAGGCAUCCUGCUGAGGCCCCGAUGUUCCCUGAAAUCCACCUGCUGGAUGACAGACUGUCUGGAUCUCCUGCCUCAGACUCACAUGUGGUGGCAAACUCGGGUGCUGGGGAAGCCCUUCCCGUGAGGGGACCGUGUCUUCGGUCACAUUUGACAGCCCUGGCUCUUUCCCAUGGCUCUGCUCAAAGCCCAUCUCAGCAAGGUCUAUGCCUGGCUUCUACUCUGAAACAAUUGGAGCCAUAGCUCACCGCUCCUGCCACACCAGACCAGACCUCCCCAUCUGCCUAGUGCAGUGCCCACCCUCUCUGUAAGGAGAGACGUGGGCCACCCCUGAGAUAGCCUCAUUUCCAAAGGACGUUUCUGACUGGGUGUCUUGGACAACAGACCGGUGUGGGCCUUCCUCCCACACUACCAAGCUGCAUCACAGGUUCUGAAGUUUCCCUUGUUGCUUUAAGGCUCCUGUGCUUGGCCUAAGUGUCAGCAGGACAAACCCUCAGGUGAGAGGAGCAAGAGGGAGGUCUGGACUCUGCUGGCAUCUGCUCCCCAGGCCAGGGACCCAGCUCUGGGAGGUCGGCACUGUCUUUUACACUUGACACCUGCUUCUGGGACCAGUGAAUACUGGCAGAAAGGGAAUCACUCCAGGUGCCAGUGCUACAGAAGCCCAGGUAGAUACCUGCUGAUGGGAAGGGUGGGUGAGCUACCCAGGUGGCCUCUUUGGAGGCCCCAGACCACGCUGUGUGAAGCACAGUGAAGGUGGAGGAUGGCUAAGGGAAAGCUGGACACUGGGUCUGGGUGCACAGAACAGCUGAGGACAUGUGAUCUGGCCACAUAAGGUGGCAUAGGAGAGGAAGGAAUAGUUGGCCCAGAAGCCAAGGUCAACCACCAGGCUCCGUGCUGGCUCACUGUGGAUCCUGGAGCAAUCCUGCUUUUGUCUGUGCCUUGCUGUCCCAUCUGUAAGCUGGAGACAUGAUAUAUUUACCUUCUUGGGUUUUUAUCAGGCUACUGUUGCAUGCAAGACUCAAAGAGCAGUGUGCAACUCCCACCAUCUCCUCUCUGUUUCAAAAGGAACCACUCACCAGGAGAAACUGAGGCCCCACUCAGAGCUGCUAUGUGGGCCGGCUCGAAAACAUUUGAGCACCACGGACAGCUUCACCCCCCCACCCCGCCUUCCAGGGAUGAUUACUGCAGACGUCUCCGCAGCCUCCCAGUUCUGCCGGUUCCUGAGCUUCCUCAAAGUGAACUGCGUCCCCUGUAAGUCUGAUGCCUCAGCUCCACAGUCAGCCCGCAGGGUGCUUCUGUAGGGACUGUCGGACACGGGUAACGCACAGGAGACUGCCUUUCAGAACAGAUGCACAUUUUCUUCCAGUUGCCCUUGGCAGGAACAACCUGAAUCUGAGCCACUGUUCACCUUUGUUAUCAAGAAGUUGAAGCUAUUUUCAACUCAGAUGGCAUUGUUAGCGGAACACGCACAUGUACAUUCAGAGCAGGUGACUCCAACACCCAGAGUCCCUGGUGAUGAGGACAUGCUGGCGGGGGAAGGCAGCUAGCAAACAACACAACAAAUUAUAAAACUUACUUUAACUGGAAAGAGUUGAAGUUCUUGUUAAAUUUAUUUUUUGAGCUGGUAAUGCUUUUACAUGUUUCAAAAUUGCAAAAAUAUAAAAAGAUAUAGAGUGAAAAUAUUCCUCCUCUCCAUCCUUCCUUUCUUUCCCAAGGGCGACCAGUGUACCUGUUUGCUUUUUACUUUCAGAGACUGUAUUUAUGUAUACAUUUCCUCUUUACACAAAUGGAAACAGUUUUACACCCUGCUCUUCACUGAAGGUAUCUUGGGGGUCUUUCCCAUAUUAGUAUAGAAGGACAGUCUUCAUUUUUAAGGCUGUGCUAUCUAUUCACCAUAAAGUACUUAGCUAGUUCUCCAUGGUGAAUACAGUGGUUGUUUCCAAAUGUUUUACUUUUAAGAUCAACAGUAUAAUGAAAACUAUAUACAAACAGUUUGCACAUGUACAAAUGUCUGUAAGAUUCAUUCCCAGCAGAUUUCCUGAAACAAAACCUUUCUGUAUUUGUAAUUUAAAUAGUGACUGCUAAGUCUUAAUAUCAAUUCACUCCCACUGGAAAUACACAGGAAAUGUUUCCACUCCUUUGAGAAAGCUUGAAGCUGUGUGAAGGGUAGAUGCAUUGUUAAAAUCUUUCUGAAAGGUAAUUUUAAAAGUUACAUGAGGACUGGGGAUUUAGCUCAGUGGUUCUGCCACCUGCCUUGC